rnacentral:rRNA from 1 species
CUACGGGAGGCAGCAGUGGGGAAUAUUGCACAAUGGGCGCAAGCCUGAUGCAGCGACGCCGCGUGAGGGAUGACGGCCUUCGGGUUGUAAACCGCUUUCAGCAGGGAAGAAGCGCAAGUGACGGUACCUACAGAAGAAGCCCCGGCCAACUACGUGCCAGCAGCCGCGGUAACACGUAGGGGGCGAGCGUUGUCCGGAUUUAUUGGGCGUAAAGAGCUCGUAGGCGGCUCAGUAAGUCAGGUGUGAAACCUCCAGGCUCAACCUGGAGACGCCACCUGAUACUGCUGUGGCUAGAGUCCGGUAGAGGAGCGUGGAAUUCCUGGUGUAGCGGUGAAAUGCGCAGAUAUCAGGAGGAACACCAACGGCGAAGGCAGCGCUCUGGGCCGGUACUGACGCUGAGGAGCGAAAGCGUGGGUAGCAAACAGGAUUAGAUACCCUGGUAGUCC